AUUCAUCAUGUAUGCUUUUCUAAUUAUAAUGGGGGGGUGGGGGGAUGAAGAGGAAACUUUUCGGAGCCACACACCGGAAUUUACUUUGAGGAAAUUAAAGUGUUCAUAGCACAUAAGUGUUGAAUACUACAGCAUGAAUAACCAAAUAGGACUUUGGUAUUGUUUUGUUGGAGUAGAGAAACCAAAGUAAGAUGAAUAGGGACAGUUGGGGGCAUUGGAAUUGAUAGUCAGAGGUGAAAUUCAUGGAUUUAUCAAAGACCAACAAAGGCGAAAGCAUUUGCCAAGGAUGUUUUCAUUGAUCAAGAACGAAAGUCAGGGGAUCGAAGACGAUUAGAUACCGUCGUAGUCUUGACCGUAAACGAUGCCGACUUGGGGGAGGUGCGAGAUGAGAAGCGCAUCACAACCAAAGGAGAAAUCAAAGUGUAUGGGUUCUGGGGGGAGUAUAGUCGCAAGGCCGAAACUUGAAGGAAUUGACGGAAGGGCACCACCAGGAGUGGAGCCUGCGGCUUAAUUUGACUCAACACGGGAAAACUUACCAGGUCCGGACAUGAUGAGGAUUGACAGAUUGAGAGCACUUUUAAGAUUUCAUGGGAGGUGGUGCAUGGCCGUUCUUAGUUGGUGGAGUGAUUUGUCAGGUUAAUUCCGAUAACGAGCGAGACCCUGUGAUGACGGUAAUGAUUGAGUAUGUAAAUACGCGAGACGUUUCUUCAUCGACACCCCA
rnacentral:rRNA from 1 species